rnacentral:tRNA from 1 species
GGACCUGUAGCUCAGCCUGGAUAGAGCACCUGCCUUCUAAGCAGGGGGUCGUGGGUUCGAAUCCCAUCAGGUCCG